UACCACUCCUUCCCAUCCCGAACAGGACAGUGAAACGACUCAGCGCCGAUGAUAGUGCGGGUUCCCGUGUGAAAGUAGGUCAUCGUCAGGC
rnacentral:rRNA from 1 species